rnacentral:misc_RNA from 1 species
CAGGGUUUGGCCAACGCCAAAGGGUAUAAACUCGGAAAAAUCGAGACAACAGCAUACUGGGUACUGCAUUUGGAUAAAGCUGACAAACUCGUGCUACAAGAAGUGCCCAAUUUACACCACCAAGAAACCCAGUCACAUUUGAAUAAACACCACGCCUUUUAGCCCAAAACUUCAAGCAUCUAAGUGCUGUUCGAAAAUUCUCAAUAUUUGGAACAAGUUUUAGA